rnacentral:rRNA from 1 species
AAAGGAAUAGACGGGGGCCCGCACAAGCAGUGGAGUAUGUGGUUUAAUUCGAAGCAACGCGAAGAACCUUACCAGGGCUUGACAUCUAUCGAAUCCGAAAGAGAUUUCGGAGUGCCCUUCGGGGAACGGUAAGACAGGUGGUGCAUGGUUGUCGUCAGCUCGUGUCGUGAGAUGUUGGGUUAAGUCCCGCAACGAGCGCAACCCCUAUUGUUAGUUGCCAGCAUUAAGUUGGGCACUCUAACGAGACUGCCGGUGAUAAAUCGGAGGAAGGUGGGGACGACGUCAAAUCAUCAUGCCCCUUAUGUCCUGGGCUACACACGUACUACAAUGGCUGUUAACAACGGGAAGCUAAGCCGCAAGGCCUCGCAAAUCCUCAAAAACAGUCUCAGUUCAGAUUGCAGGCUGAAACUCGCCUGCAUGAAGUCGGAAUUGCUAGUAAUCGCGGAUCAGCAUGUCGCGGUGAAUACGUUCCCGGGCCUUGUACACACCGCCCGU